GAUGAAGAACGCAGCGAAAUGCGAUAAGUAAUGCGAAUUGCAGAAUUCAGUGAAUCAUCGAAUCUUUGAACGCACAUUGCGCCCGCCAGUACUCUGGCGGGCAUGCCUGUCUGAGCGUCAUUUCAACCCUCGCGCCCGGCUUCUGUCGGGGGCGGUGUUGGGGAUCGGCCUCCCGUCUUCCGGGCGGCCGGCCCCUAAAUGGAGUGGCGACCGCGCCGUAGCCUCCUCUGCGUAGUAGUGAAACACUCGCGGGCGGAGAGCGGUGCGGCCCGCCGUAAAACCCCCAACUCUUCUAAGGUUGACCUCAGAUCAGGUAGGAAUACCCGCUGAACUUAAGCAUAUCAAUAAGCGGAGA
rnacentral:misc_RNA from 1 species